GACGAACGCUGGCGGCGCGCUUAACACAUGCAAGUCGAACGGAAAGGCCUGCUUUCCCUUGUGGAUUGCGGGUACUCGAGUGGCGAACGGGUGAGUAACACGUGAGUGAUCUGCCCCCAACUUGGGUAUAAGCCUGGGAAACUGGGUCUAAUUCCCGAUAGGACUGCAGGGUGGUGCCUGUGGUGGAAAACGAUUUUCUAGUGGUUGGGGAUGAGCUCGCGGCCUAUCAGCUGGUUGGUGGGGUAAUGGCCUACCAAGGCGGCGACGGGUAGCCGGCCUGAGAGGGUGGACGGCCACAUUGGGACUGGGAUACGGCCCAGACUCCUACGGGAGGCAGCAGUGGGGAAUAUUGCACAAUGGGCGGAAGCCUGAUGCAGCGACGCCGCGUGGGGGAUGACGGCCUUCGGGUUGUAAACUCCUUUCGACCGCGAGGAAGCCACCUGUUUGGAAGGGUGGUGACGGUAGUGGUAGAAGAAGCACCGGCUACUACGUG
rnacentral:rRNA from 1 species